GGUUCGAUUAUGGCUCAGAUUGAACGCUGGCGGGAUGUGCUUUACACAUGCAAGUCGAACGCUGGCUGGACUUCGGUCCUGGUGGCGAGUGGCGAACAGGUGAGUAAUGUAUCGGAACGUGCUAGUAGCGGGGGAUAACUACGGCCUUAGCUAAUACCGCAUACGCCCUUCGGGGGAAAGCGGGGGACCUUCCGGGCCUCGCACUAUUAGGCUUGAAGCCGAUAUCGGAUUGGCUAGUUGGUGGAGUAACGGCUCACCAAGGCGACGAUCCGUAGCCGGUUUGAGAGGACUGACCAGCCACUGGGACUGAGACACGGCCCAGACUCCUACAGGAGGCAGCAGUGGGGAAUUUUGGACAAUGGGGGAAACCCUGAUCCAGCCAUCCGCGUGUGCGAUGAAGGCCUUCGGGUUGUAAAGCACUUUUGGCAGGAAAGAAACGGCACGGGAUAAUACCCCGUGCAACUGACGGUACCUGCAGAAUAAGCACCGGCCCUAACUACGUGCCAGCAGCCGCGGUAAUACGUAAGUGCAAGCGUUAAUCGGAAUUACUGGGCGUAAAGCGUGCGCAGGCGGUUCGGAAAAGAUGUGAAAUCCCAGGCUUAACUUUGGAACUGCAUUUUUAACUACCGAGCUAGAGUGUGUCAAGAGGUGGAAUUCCGUGUAGCGGUGAAAGUACGUAGAUAUGCGGAGGAACACCGAUAGCGAAGGCAGCCUCAGGAUGUACAGCCGCUCGUAAUACCCAGCGUGGGGAGCAAACAGGAUUAGAUACCCUGGUAGUCCACGCCCUAAACGAUGUCAACUAGCUGUUGGGGCCUUCGGGCCUUGGUAGCGCAACUAACGCGUGAAGUUGACCGCCUGGGAAUACGGUCGCAGGUUAAACUCAAGAAUUGACGGGGACCCGCACAAGCGGUGGAUGAUGUAAGUUAAUUCGAUGCAACGCGAAAAACCUUACCUACCCUUGACAUGUCUGGAAUCCCGAAGAGAUUUGGGGAGUGCUCGCAAGAGAACAGAACACAGGUGCUGCGCCCGAAAACAUCUGGUGGCAGCUCGUGUCGUGAGAUGUUGGGUUAAGUCCCGCAACGAAGCGCAACCCUUGUCAUUAGUUGCUACGAAGGGCACUCUAAUGAGACUGCCGGUGACAAACCGGAAGGUGAGGAUGACGUCAAGUCCUCUUGGCCCUUAUGGGUAGGGCUUCACACGUCAUACAAUGGUCGGGACAGAGGGUCGCCAACCCACGAGAACCAAUCCCAGAAACUUGAUCGUAGUCCGGAUCGCAGUCUGCAACUCGAGCUGCGUGGAAGUCGAAUCGCUAAUAAUCGCGGAUCAGCAUGUCAUGGGUGAAUACGUUCCCGGGUCUUGUACACACCGCCCGUCACACCAUGGGGAGUGGGUUUUACAGAAGUAGUUAAUGUCAUGGGGAGGGCGAUUAUACCACGGUAAGUUCAUGACUGGGGUAGUCGUAACAAAGGUAG
rnacentral:rRNA from 1 species